GGCAGAGAUAUGAAGUAGAAUACGGAUGACAGCAACAAGGAGAAGAAAAUAAUUCCAAUUUAUGCACGAAAAUUCAUCAAGAUUUUGAGCAAGACAUUCCGUCGUCGAAUAGCUGGGAGAUUUACAUUAUGCAAGGAAGAAGUUGAAGAAAAAUUGUUGGGAUUCGCAUGACGAAAAUCAACAAUAGCUUGGAGAAUUUUUAUCUUGUUUAUUAUAAUUAAGCCCAGUGAUGUUCUCCAAUCUUUUUUUUUUUUUUUUUUUAAUUCGACAUUAGGAGUGGCUAAAGAACUUUCAUGCUAGGAAGAACGAUAUAACUUAUUUGACAUUUAUUUAAUUUCAU
rnacentral:lncRNA from 1 species